GACGGACGCUGGCGGCGUGCUUAACACAUGCAAGUCGAACGGAAAGGCCCUGCUUUUGUGGGGUGCUCGAGUGGCGAACGGGUGAGUAACACGUGAGUAACCUGCCCUUGACUUUGGGAUAACUUCAGGAAACUGGGGCUAAUACCGGAUAGGAGCUCCUGUUGCAUGGUGGGGGUUGGAAAGUUUCGGCGGUUGGGGCUGGACUCGCGGCUUAUCAGCUUGUUGGUGGGGUAGUGGCUUACCAAGGCUUUGACGGGUAGCCGGCCUGAGAGGGUGACCGGCCACAUUGGGACUGAGAUACGGCCCAGACUCCUACGGGAGGCAGCAGUGGGGAAUAUUGCACAAUGGGCGGAAGCCUGAUGCAGCAACGCCGCGUGCGGGAUGACGGCCUUCGGGUUGUAAACCGCUUUCGCCUGUGACGAAGCGUGAGUGACGGUAAUGGGUAAAGAAGCACCGGCUAACUACGUG
rnacentral:rRNA from 1 species